UAAUCAAUUACACUGCCAACACACAAAUCCCCUUCGAGUUCAACCGAUAUCACUUCUCUCCACUGAAUUUUGUACAAUAAUCUAGAAUACAAUGUAGAGUAAUUAAAGUCACAUCAACUGAGACAUAAUAUAUAUCUCAACAAUACAUCAUGUCUGCAUACAUACAUUGGUAUACACUUUGUAGGUUCACAAGUCCAGUACUACAUCACAUCCAAAAGGACAACAAUCCAUCGUGUCUAGAUAUAUACAUAGGCAUACAUUUGUAGGUUCAUAUGUCCAGUAUUACAUCACUAGAUAUAUACCAUCAUGUCUCAGUAAGAAACUGAUCCAUCCUAGAGCGCUACUUCAUCAGAUAGAUACUAAAAUGUCCAUACCUUCUUUAGAUGCUAGAAAUAGAUCCUUUUAGCUCACAGAACACACAUCUACGAACUUGUGACUGCAAGAGUAGUAUACUAGUGACCUGAAAAAAGAAGUAACCAAUUACAGCAUCUCACAAGUAUUGAAGUUCGAGAAUGCAUUUUGAAAAUCACCUAAAAGCAUGACCUAGUCAGAAUUAUAUUUCUCCCUCCUAUCCAUAUUAAUUGAUGCUGGGUUAGUACAAAGUUAGUAGAGAGUACAACAGUUAUUCCCCUGAAAAAUAUACGGACACAAGGACCAUAUACACAUACCGAACAUGCUUUAUGAACAACAGUUAAUCCUUGACGUGUCCCAGGAUAGCAUGCACGUACCCAAUCAUAUCAGUCACCCAACCUUCACCUUGAACAAAUACAAAGAAGAAAGCAAGCAGCACAUCGACGCGAGGAAGCCAAUUUUCCGUGAGCCCACACAACUCGUCGAGUCCUAAAAUGCACUGAUGCAUCUUCACAUAAAAAAAUCCAGCUACUUGUGAGCCUAAUCAAAUGACCAGCUCUAUUACUUCCAUGAUAGUGGCUGAAAUGUCAGAUAUACUAGCAAGGAAAUCAUUUACUUGUGAAUAUUCUGAAUGAAGAGCAGAACCUAGAAUAUUUUUGCCUUUGCUAAAAAAAAUAAGAAUAAAGAUGAUAGUUUCAAGUAGCAACUCACCAUUUUCCUUUGGUAACGAGCCAAGGAAGCACUCUCUUGACGGUGACCCCCCGAUCACAUUCGCUUCCACUCUGUGCAAGCACAAGAAUUUUCUUUCUAUUCCAUUUCACACCAUUCACAUGACCCAGCAAGGUUUUUUCUACAAAGAUCAGAGUGCAAAGUAUAAGUAUGUUAGGAGAGAAAGUGAAUUUGAUGGCACAUGUGUUCUGGUCCCACCACAUGUAAAUUUUAAGAGGAAAAGCCAGCUACAGCCAUCAACCACAAAAUACUGACCAAUCUCUCCACAAAUAAGACAAUAUUGCAAUGAAUACAUGUUACACGCCGCUGCAGCUGCAUCACUUCAUUAAAAAACAUAAUCACUUUCAUAAUAGCAAGAUACAUCUAUUCAUCACGCUUAUUCCAGAAACUUGUCAUAUUAACGUAGAUAACUUAAUUACACCAUGUACUUUCAGGGAAGGGGGCGAACAACAAAAUCAUAUAUCCAACCAUCAGAUAUGACAUGCAGUUUUACAAGCUCCCGACCAUCUUACAUAUGCAAUGAAAGCAGAAAGACAUCUCAGUAUCUCACAAACACAACCAGGGCACAAAAUGUGGCAUUAAGUAUAACUAAAGAACUGCAUUUCAGAAAAUAUGUAUGCUAGCAGACUCAAAAUCAAUUGUCACAAUGUCAUCUGGCCACAUUUCUGAACAAGCAAGAACGGCAGACCCACAAAAGCCCAUGUUAUGUCACUUAUAUUUGCUGCCUAUAUAUGCAGAACUGUAAACAAAAUAUCAUAACAAACCCUAGAAUGAUUAUUUGUUCUAAGGCAACAACGCUAGAAUCAAAAGGGCUUGUUUCACUGCAGAAAUUCUAAACAGCACAUAUGAAUUUGAUUGAUUAAGCUAUAUUUGGAGUGGAGAUUUGCUUUCAACAAGAGGGGAAGAGAGACUAAAACAAAACAUAUUUAGUACACCUAUCAUGCAGCAAAACUCUCGACAAUAAACUUUAUCUGGACCAUUCAGUUACUAUCUGUAAGUGUUGGAAUUCUGCCCAUGGAUCAAUCACAUCAGAGACGACGAACACUCACACACAAAAAAAACUUGUAGCCAAGGGCUUGUAUUGUCCCUCUUUUUUUCACUUUUUCUUGUCAGCUUCCUGUGGUACAAUGUCACGCACCAGCAUAUGUGUAAAUAUGCAUGAGACAACCGACCAAGGACUUGCUUGUUCUUGAUCUUGAAACCAACUCGUACAUGGCCGUCCUAGUACUACCAGUACCAGGACACUUAAUCACCGGCCACACUGAACACAAUUAGCCUAAACCUACUCAGAUACAUCUAGUACUCUUCCACGCGUAGACACCUCAAGACAUACUUGUAGUUGCAGCCGGUGCUCUCUGUCACUCAUCCUUCGUAACUGAAGAACAAAAGACAGUAAUUUGUGCUGCGUGCAGCUUACUGCAGCGUUUUCUUCUCCUUUUAUUUAUAUGCUGUUACAGUAACAGAAUCAUCCUAGUCUACCGGCCACGUUUGAGCUAACGGCUGCGCCAUCCCACAGCCACUUGCACGCUGCCUCAACGCCGCCAUGUCCGGCAUGAUCUCGUGCCAUCCCACAAGAGCGAACACUGCGGCACUAGCUACUGCAUGCAGAAAAACAAAGACUACAUGCAUGCACCAGAACAGACUCCCGGUGCAUGCUUAUUCUGACGAAACUGAAUAAUAAACACUUAGCUAACUGAAGACAGUGCAGCAGGAAUUACAGUGGCCAACAAUACUAGGGUGAGAAAGUUCUAGUAACUCACUUUUGCGUUAAUUAACCUAGCUGAAAUAGCAAGCACUUCUCUAGCAACUCGUACAUGACUCAAGAUUACUCCUAACAGUAAGAAGUAGAGCAGAGGAACGAAAAGGUACAAGAGGGAGCAGCAUACGGACACAGGUUGAGGAAAGCAGAAGAACAGAGAGGUUGUGGGCGCCGGACCUGCAGGCUUACCUGACAUGGCAGGGGCACACCAUAGGCAACGCAAGGUGAAAGGCAUGUAGAGCUUAGAGGGCACCGAAGGCCAGGCGCAGCCCGCCAGCGCGGUCGCCAUGGUGAACAAACUUGCCGGCGCAAGCGUCGACUGCGUGCUCUGGACGGAGGAGAAAUCGCCAGGCGGUUUGCGGAGGUCGCCUCCGACGGAUCCCUCAGCCGGCCGUCAUCGUGAACAUCACGGUGGAAGCGCCAGCGACAGGGGCGGCUUGGGGAAGUGGAGAUGACGGAAACAGCUCUUGGUUCGGAUGGUGGAUAGAGAAGACUGGAGGAGGCGGGUCGAUCCAGGGACGGAUUUGGGAGAUGCGGCGCGCCGGCGCCGGUGUGGGUGUAGAAGCAGCGAGAUCUGGGAGGCGAUGCCUCGCUGCGGAAGGUGGACGAUUGGAUAAGGUAACUCGAAAAAAAAGAAUGGAUAAGGUAGGGGGGGAAUGGAUGGCUGUGAGAAACCCGCGGAGCGAAAUUUUAACUGUCACG
rnacentral:lncRNA from 1 species